rnacentral:sRNA from 1 species
ACAGGGUCAAAAGUCAGAACUCGUUUCUGCUUGCAGAAUAAGAGCUCUGACUUAAUGACCCGUACACAUAUGAGCAAGGAGUGAUUUGCUUUAGAAAAUCAACGGAUUGCGAAUGUGUGUGUAGAAUUGCGAGAGUUGUAUUGCAACGGAGCAAUUCUU